GCGAGCUUGUGAUGGAAACGGAGGCUGAAGGCAAGCGGUGGUAUGUCAGAGGGGCUGGGAUGAGCAGCAGCUCCCUGGAUGGGCUCCCAGGCUCUUGUCCCUCCGUCCCUCUAGUGUCCUGGCAGGGAGGAGACAGAGAGGCAGAAGCCCAGGAGAUCUUGGUGUCACGCAGGGGUGGCUAUUAAUAACACUUACACUUUCCCUGUGGUUGAGCUGUGCAAGUCAAGCGUCCUUGCCAGGGAAAGACAGCUUGUAAACUGAAACGGGCUCCUGCUUGCGUGCUGCCAGCUCCGGUGCCGCAGCAGCUGCCCAGCACCCGCGGCGAGCUGGGAUGCAGGGACGCAGCCAGCCACCGUCAGGACGGGCGCUCGUCACGGAGCAGGGCAAAACUCUCCGACUCGUUUCCCUUGCUGUAGCCCCGUGGUUGGAAAAAAUGCUUUCCAGACAACUAGCUGGAGGUUUGCUGAAAGGUUGGGAGGAUCUGAUUGUGUUUUUCAAGUCUGGACUUCUCUAGGGGCUCAAGGCUUGUGCAUUGUGCUGCUGGCACUAUCCUGCAGUAGGGUCCUAUUGCCACCCUUGGUGCCAGGAGAGGGGUGCCAGAUUUGGCACUGUAGGAAGGUAACCGGGGAUCUCUCUUGCUUCUGGGUGCUGGCAGGAAUAGACCAGGCUGCUGGAGGGACAGAAGGAAUAAUAACGUAAAGGAACGGCCCAGCAGGCGUAUGGCACAGCAUCCCGCUACAUGUCUAAGGGCACAGAGGGCCUGUUCAGUAUGGUACAUGGGAGUUUGCUUGAGGCUAGUGAAGCAAAGCAGAAUAAUGGAGCUGAAUAUCAAGAAGCUCCUCCUGACCCGGGCAGAGCCUAUGCCUUGAGGGACACUGCGUGUUUAGCCCUAGGAUUCAGCCUGUCUGGUUUUGGAGCCACCACCACUGCAGGAGGGAUGGCUGCUGGCUGUCCAGAGAGCAGGAUCUCCAUAUCAGCUGAUCCACAAGCUCUGUGUCCACUGAAGUUACAAGAUGCAAGUUUUUCCUCUUCGAUCCCUGCUUGACUUUCCAAGGGCAUUUAGAUCCUGCCACCAAGGUUAGCUCUGUCCUCAGAGUAAGAGGUUGCAGCUUGCUCUGAGUGCCCAAGGAGCUUUCCGCAGCAGCCCCCUCUUCCCCCAGCUCUCGAGGACGGCACUGCUGGCUGCCUGCGCUCUGGGACAUGUUCCUGCUUCAGCAGCAUCUCUGCCCACCAAAGCCAGGCGGGGAGCAUAGGAGGCUGAGGAGCUCUGAGGGGUCUGGUUAGAAAAAAACUUCCCAAGAGCUCUGAUUGCAGAUCAUGAGCAGACCAGAGCUGCUGUCUCCUUCUUCGUUCACGGAAGGAGAUUGAAAUGAUAGUGCAUAGCUGCUCGUAAGUAGAGUUGAUAUCCUAGUGUGUGCAGCAGUGCUUCCUUUCCCUCCCACCCUGCAAAUGCCAGGCUGCCUCCAUCCAGCCUCCUUACCUAACUAUGCCGAGCGAUGCAGUCUGCAAAGCAGCCACAGGUGCCGGCUUUUCUCUGUCUUAGCGACAAACAGUGGAGAUCCCAGAGAUGUGCUGGUGUUAGGCCAGGGGCUUCCAGGGCUUAGCUCCUGUCAGACUCCUCUGCCUGGUGCGUGGUUCCCCGCCUGCUCUGCACGCAGCUCUGCUGAUGCACAUCAACCCUGGGCACCCCCGGCAGUCUGUCCGUCUGCUCCGCCGGCGGUAGCUUUCAGCACCUGCGAUAUACCAUUUGGAGCUCAGAUUGGAACUAAGUUGCGAGAGAUGGGGAUAUCUUCACCCAUCAUAUCUGUGCUGCCACGUGCUGCUGUUGUGGGCUGUCAGAUGGUUGCCUGGUAAUAACCUUCACCACUGGUGGCUGGAGCGCGAGUCCAUGUGCCACUUGCAGACAGCCCUGAAGAUAAAAAGGGCCAUAAUCAGCUAGUACCCAAACAUAAAUGUCAAGCCAAGGUUAUUCUAGCAGAUUUCCUCAUGAGACUGUGGUGCAAAAAGGAAGGAAGCUGUGUUGAGAGAUCUUCCUGCCCAUAGCAGCAGCUCAGCAAGCGGUACAGCAGCUUCGUGCUAGUGGAGUAUCUGGGGCAGCAGGGAGCAUCUGUUAAGCUCAUUUGGGAUGUAGUUGGACUGUACGUCUGCCCCAGCAGCUAAAGCUGGCCAAAAAGGGUCUGCUGCAGCGUGCCACACCCAGGCGGUGUUCUCUCUUGGGUUUUCUAACACGUUUUAUUUGUUCAGACAAUUUUUAACACCUAUUGGUGAUGAUGCAAUUUACUGGGCAUCGUCCUUUUGACGAUGGGGAGUAGGGACAGGAAUGGAGCACUGCAGUGUCAUGGACAGGCUGGAAGCAGGGUGAUCAGCAAAAUGUGCUUUUGCCCUCUGCAAAGCUGCAUGGGCCUCGGUGGUGUGAUAGUUAACCUGCUGGUGACCAAGUACCUGCAUUGCUUGCUGUGGUGGGACUUGAGAAAUCCCUCCAAGGAGGUGACACUUUGUUUUGCUUUCAGUUCAACCAGGCUUUAGCUGCCCUGAUGCUGCUCGCUGGAGGGCAUUGCUGUCCUUCCUUCCCUCCUUGUGCUACGUUACUGAAUACAGGCAUGGCAGUGAGACCGUAGAAACUAAAGAGCUCCCUUCUUUGCCUACCAGGCUGGAGGAGACCCAGCCUUCUCCAAAGAUACAAACUCAGCUUUGUACUCAUCUAAAAGAAAUAGAGGUACAGCCCAAGGGGUUGCUUGUGCUACAAGCACUAAGCAAAAGCUCCAGUUGUUUGUGGUCCAGAAAAUAACACGUAUGUCCCAUCUUACCUGCAUUUCCCAAACAAAAAGGGAAGCUUCUGACAAAUUUGCCUGUUUGUGUGGACCUUGCGGCAGUGGAGGUUUGAGCCAGGGUGUUCUCCUGAAGGUCCUCUGGUAUUGCUGACCUGCAAGCGAGUGCAUAAAAGAGCAUGAGAAGGGAGGAAAGUAGAAACAAGUGGAGCAGAUGCCGGUCUUAGUGCAGUGGUGAGCGGCAUGCCUGUACCCUCACGAUGGAUAGAGGAGCUGCCUUCUACAGCAUGGAAAUUGUUGAGAGUGACGGUGGUGGCUUGUGUGUGCCUGCAGGCUGCCAUGAUCCAGAGUCCCCUGCCUUGGGAGCAAUUGAAGAGCCAGAAGUUUGCUUCUACCAAACUGUGGGUCUUGGUGUUUUUUUUUCAGUUGCCCUCGAAUAAAUCCUCUCUAUGUAGCAGCUGAAGAGAGGCAGUGACUGGAGGGCGAAGCACUACGUCUGGAGGAGAGGAGCGCUGGAGCUAGACAGAUUCAGCCCCUUCCACUCCAGCCUUUGCAUGCCGAGCCGCCAGUGCUGAAACUGCUGCAGCACCUUCCACCCGUGGCCUGGGGCUUUCCACAGGCUGCUGCAGUGUCCAGGCAGCCUGUCAAGCUUUGAGGGCUGGGCAGGGAAAGCUUGAGAGCCCCGGUAAAGCUCUUUCCACCAGGAGAGGGAAGUUUUGCGCAGGACAGAGGGGAUGAUUUUCCUAGCUCUCCUCUGCACUAUUCCGGCUCUCCCAGCCUCCAGCUCUCCCAGCCAGCUUCUACCAAAUCUCCCUGCCCUGCUCUUACUUGCCCGGUUGGUUUUCUUCUUUAGGAUUUGCAACAGCUUAGUUUCAAUUUGCUGCAAAUUGGUGGGGCUGGUGCUUAGCCAGAGUGGUUCCCAUGGGGAAACCAGGUAGACCAGCACCAGGAGAGCGGUGGGGGUAGUCACCAGGGCUGAUCGGCACCUCGGGAUGCAGGGGCUCUGCCGAUCCCACAGUGGCGAGCAGGGGAUGCAGAGGGUCCUGGCCAGGCGGUGACACCUGCCCUGCCAUCGCAGCACCCUGGGCUGAGCCAUGAAACUGAGGGAACUGGGGAGCUGUGGGCAGCGGGAGCCCCAGCAGUGCAUCUACCUAGCAAGUGGGUCCCAGCCCUGCCGUGCGCCCUGGGUGGCAUCGCCACAUCUCCCCCGCUCCCUGCUCCUACCCUCUGUCCCCCGCCAUCCCCCUGCCCUGACCCUUCACAGCCCAGCCCGGGGGACUCAUGGGGGAGCCUAUUUAACUCCUGGUCUCUGUGUUAACAGCCACCAUCCGGGUGCGAUGGAAACCUUUUUUAGGCGGCACUUUGGGAGGAAGGGGCCGCGGCGUGCCAGCGCGGUGGCCGUGCCCACAGGCAAGGCCAGGCGACGCUCCCAGGCAGGGCUGCCCUCCGCCUUGCUGGCCCAGCGCCGGCGCGGUUCGGGCUCCCCGCUGCCAGCCUUCUCCUGCCUGGGUCUGCCCCAGCGCCCUGGCCCCCGCCGCCGCUCCAGCACCACGCCACCCUGCCUCAGCCCCAGGUUCGCCGUGCAGACGAAACGCGGGGGCCAGGCACGAGCCAUCGACGCCCAGCUGGUGGGUCCCUCCAUCCUCCUGGCCAGCCUCAUCCCCACUGGAGAGGAGGAGGACGGGGCGCCCCGCACCGACAGCUCCGGAUCCGAGUCUCUGGAGGAUGGCGGCGGCGGCACGGCGGCGGGAGUCAAGCGGGGCCGGCGUGAGCGGUGGGCUGAGGAGAGGUGGCUGGCCAUGCUACCCCGGCUGCAGCCGCUCCAGGCUGGGCUGCUGUCGCGGGGUCCCCGCUGCCUGCGGCGUGCCUCCUCCCACCGCCUGCCCACCGAGUUCAUGUACGGCCGGGCCACCUACGGCUUGCCAGGUCGCUACCGUCGCCUCAGCCAGCGACGCCGCUCCAGCGAUGCCCUCCGGCCCGGGCUGCUCCCCUCCAGCCACCUGCGGCUGCUGGCCCAGCACUGCGCAGGGGCGGCCGGAGCCGGCUGCCCCUCUGCCACCCUCCCCGAGUGCUUGGGACCGGAGCCUGCCCGCCACGCCGCCCCGGAUGGCUGGAGCCCCCGGCUGCUGAAAGCUAUUGCCAAGUCCAGCCUCCAGCACAUGGUAGCCCAGCCAAACCCUGCGCUAGCCCUGAGGAGCGACUCCGAGAGACAGAUACGCAGCACCGUGGACUGGAGCGAGACUGCGGUCUACGGGGAGCACAUCUGGUUUGAGACCAAUGUCUCUGGGGACUUCUGCUAUGUUGGGGAGCAGAACUGUAUGGCAAAGCUGCUGCAAAAACCUCUCUCCAGGCGUAAGUGUGCAGCCUGCAAGAUCGUAGUGCAUACACCCUGCAUCGAACAGCUGGAGAAAAUAAAUUUCCGCUGCAAACCUUCCUUCAGGGAGUCAGGAUCCCGGAACGUACGAGAGCCCAUCGUUGUCCGGCAUCACUGGGUACACCGGAGGCGGCAGGAAGGGAAAUGUCGGCAGUGUGGCAAGGGUUUCCAGCAGAAGUUUGCCUUCCACAGUAAAGAGAUUGUAGCCAUCAGCUGUUCCUGGUGCAAGCAAGCGUAUCACAGCAAAGUGUCAUGUUUCAUGUUGCAACACAUCGAAGAGCCCUGCUCGCUGGGGGCUCAUGCUGCUGUCGUCGUUCCUCCCACCUGGAUUCUCCGGGUCCGACGGCCCCAGAAUCCACUGAAAUCUAGUAAGAAGAAGAAGAGGACAUCGUUCAAGCGGAAAUCCAGCAAAAAGGGAGCCGAGGAAGGGAGGUGGAAACCCUUUGUCAUCAAGCCCAUGCCAGCUCCUCUCAUGAAGCCCUUGCUGGUGUUUGUGAACCCCAAGAGCGGUGGGAAUCAGGGAGCCAAGAUCAUCCAAUCCUUCAUGUGGUAUCUCAACCCACGGCAAGUUUUCGACCUCAGCCAGGGUGGACCCAAGGAGGCGCUGGAGCUGUACCGCAAGGUCCACAACCUCCGGAUCCUGGCGUGCGGGGGAGACGGCACGGUGGGCUGGAUACUCUCCAUUCUGGACCAGUUACGCCUCAACCCACCUCCUCCUGUGGCCAUCCUACCUCUGGGGACAGGGAACGACUUGGCCAGGACGCUGAACUGGGGCGGGGGUUACACGGAUGAGCCUCUGUCCAAGAUCCUGUCUCAUGUGGAAGAUGGGAACAUUGUGCAGCUCGAUCGCUGGAACCUCCAUGUGGAGCCAAACCCUGACGCGAACCCUGAGGAAAAGGAUGAGGUGGCCGCUGACAAGCUCCCCUUGGAUGUCUUUAAUAACUACUUCAGCCUCGGCUUUGACGCACGGGUGACACUGGAGUUCCACGAAUCUCGAGAGGCCAACCCAGAGAAGUUCAACAGCCGGUUUCGGAAUAAAAUGUUCUAUGCUGGGACGGCCUUCUCUGACUUCCUCACUGGGAGCUCCAAAGACUUGGCAAAGCACGUCAAGCUGGUUUGCGAUGGGACAGACCUAACCUCCAAGAUCCAGGACCUGAAGCCCCAGUGCCUGGUCUUUCUGAACAUCCCCAGGUACUGUGCAGGCACAAUGCCCUGGGGCAACCCUGGGGAGCACCACGACUUCGAGCCACAGCGCCAUGAUGAUGGCUGUAUUGAAGUUAUCGGCUUCACCAUGACAUCCCUGGCUGCCUUGCAGGUCGGUGGCCACGGGGAGCGGCUGUGCCAGUGCCGGCAGGUGGUUCUCACCACGUCCAAGGCCAUCCCCAUGCAGGUAGAUGGAGAGCCCUGCAAGCUGGCGGCUUCCUGCAUCCACAUCUCUUUGCGCAACCAAGCCAACAUGGUGCAGAAGACCAAGCGGCGCAACUCCAUGCCUCUGCUCAAUGACCAGCAGGCAGUGCCCGAGCGGCUGCGGAUCCGGGUGAGCCGAAUCAGCAUGCGCGACUAUGAGGCACUGCACUAUGACAAGGAAAAGCUCAAGGAAGCCUCUGUGCCGCUGGGGAUCAUCGUGGUUCCAGGAGACAGUGACCUGGAGUUGUGCCGGACUCAAAUCGAGAGGCUGCAGGAGGAUUUCCUUCCACAGCCCUCCACUUUAGAGCAUCUGCUCUUUCAGGAGGGAGAUGGAGCCAAACCGAAGACACUGUCAUCCCAGAAGCUGUCACCCAAGUGGUGCUUCCUGGACUCAACCACGGCUGAUCGGUUCUACCGGAUAGACCGCGCACAGGAGCACCUCAACUAUGUGACAGAGAUCUCUCAGGAUGAGCUCUAUGUGCUGGACCCAGAGCUGGUGAUCACCCAGACCGUGGGCACCUCUCCUGCCAUGCCCGACCUCGUCGACUUGUCUGCCGCACCUACUGGGCAGCAUUUUGCAUUCCCCUCCUCUUCCAUCUCUCCACCCUCCUCUCCUGCCCCCAGCGCUGAGCCUGACCGCUGCCUCCCGCACAAAGAUGACCUUUUGAUAGAAGCUGCCAAGAGCGGCAACUUCAGCAAGUUCCAAGAGCUGCACCGGGCUGGAAGAGACCUCAUGGUGCGAGACUCCUCGGGCCAGACCGUCCUCCACCAUGCCGUCAAAUCGGGGAGCAAGGACAUCGUCAAGUACAUCAUCGAGAACGCCCCUUCAGAAAUCCUUGAUGCCACGGAGGAGAAGUAAGUUGCUGACUGACUUGUGUUACCCGUUGGCCAGACCCUCUGCGAGUUGACCAGUUGCCCGGGCACUUAUCAGCCGCCCUCACUCUAAUUAUCAGCCACGGUUCCCAGUCCACUCUGGACUGACCGUGCCCGAGCAGCACCCCCUCCUCUGCCAGGGCUGCUUGGACAAGCGUGCAACCCACCACAAGCUUCCGCUGCAGCUGAAUUGCUGUCCCUCGCUGCCACCCACACGUGCUGCAUGUCCCCGUUUGGGGGGGACAUCUCACAUCUCCCGCUUUCUCCUCCCCAGCGGCGAAACCAGCUUGCACCAGGCUGCAGCCUUACGCCAGCGCACUAUCUGCCACUACAUCGUGGAGGCCGGGGCUUCUCUCAUGAAGACAGACCUGCAGGGAGACACCCCCAAGCACCGGGCUGAGAAAGCCAACGACCCCGACUUAGCUGCCUACCUCGAGAACCGACAGCACUACCAGAUGAUCCAGCGGGAGGACCAGGAGACGGCUGUGUAGUGCUCGGAGUGCCUUAGCCCAAGCCAGCUCAGGCAGGACAAGAAGAGGACGAUGCCAACUGGCAGAGCUGUGAGUCUGGGCCAGCCCUCCCUAGAUGUUAACCUGGUCCCUGGAGGAGACGGAAACAGCAGAGCUCUGCCCCAGGCUGGGCUGGGACUCUGUUUAUGAGGACAGUGGGUAUUUGGGACUUGAAGCCUGGCUCUUUGUGUGUCCCCUCCUUUGCCCCUCAUCCACCACAUUCCCUGCCCUGGAUGGGCACUAUCCCGCAGCCCUGUUGGGGCAGGCCAGGCUGAAGCCCCUGGGCACCCUUGUGCAUGGGAGUGAUGCCAGUGCCCCCUCUGCAGGCUCCUACCUAUGAUCCUUGUGGGAUAUCGUUGCUCGCCCCCUCUCCCUGCCAGCAGUGCCCCUCCUUUAGAUGCUUGGCUCGGUUCGUGUCCUGUUCCUCCUUUCCUGUCUGGCACAGCUGCGGGAGGCACAGGCUGUGCGGGCAGACAGCAGAGGCCGUGAGCCUCAGGCUGCCCCAAGGGAAGCACCGUGACUUACUGUCCCUGUCUCCUCCUCCCUCCUGUCGGUUUGGGGCUGCCCCGGGUCUCCGUGUUGCCCUACCAGGGCUUUCUGUGGCAGGAGGGAAGUCCUUGGCGCACCCAGCCUUUUCCCAGAGCACCUGGGACUGGCGCAGCUGGAAGCAGGGCAGCCGCUGCCCUCCUGGUUGCCGUUAGUGCUCAGCCAGUCAGCGGUCUGGCCCAGGGCAGGGAUGGCAUGGAGGAAGGCUACCGAGCCCUCCCACCAUCCCUCCUUUCGCAGGGCUGGGUGGGGGAGCCUGCACCCCCGGUGUCUGCUGGGCAUCUCUUUGGGAGCCCACUGCAGCACGUAGCCACAGUGGAGAGCUGCGCUUGGCCUGGGUGGUGGCUGCGGUGGAGCCCGUUAUAUUUCCUAAAUGCUGACUUGGAUCCAGCUGCCCUCCCUGCUUUAGCUUCCCCCCUCGCCCCCAAUGCUAGACAUUGCACUGGGCUGGAGGGGCAGUGCUGGGGUCAGUGCUGCUCUCAGGGAUUCCCAUCAUGCCCCCCAACCUGUCAACACGCAUCCUCCGAGUCUGACUCCUGCCAUCCCCCAAACUGGGCGCAGGGCUUUGCAGGGAAAACUUGGGAGCUUGCCCAGCCCAGACACAAGCUCCCUGCGCAGGCCACCAGCUCACCCUCUCUGGUUUUAGCAGAAAGAGGGAUUUGGAUGCAUAGGAAGCAUCAGGGCUCCCAGCCUCAAGUCAUGCCUGCAGUGGCAUGGCAUUUCACCUACCAUCCGCCAUGGGGCACGAGGCACCACGACCCAUCUCCCCUGCGGAUGCUGUGGGUGCUGAGCAUCUGCAGAGGCAUCAAGCCAGCCCUUCAGCCAGGCUUUUGCAGAACUGACAGUCUCUGGGACCAGGAGGUGCCAGCAUAGGAAGACAGCUGAUGGCUCUGAGGCCUUGCAGACCUGCUUGGCACUUUUGGGUGGGCGGCGGUUGCGAAGCGGGUUGCUGCUCGCAGCUCGUGUGCCAGGAGAGGAUGCUGCUGCUGCGUGGGGUCUGUGCGGUCCCACCUGCACUCACACCCAGCUGUGCCCACCGGGUAAUGCUGGGUGGGUGGCACCGUUUGAAUCCCUCCUAAUACCAAUACCAAAAAAAGGGUAUGAGGAUACCGCAAAGAACCAGAAUACCCUUCAGACUCUUUGGCCGGGGGGCAGAGUUCCCUUGGAGGAUGGGGGAUGCUGUGGUGGGAGCAGAGGCGCAGGGCAGUGCAGAGUGCCAGGGGCCAGCAGCAGUAUUGGCAAUUGAUAACGAUAGCAUCCCAAUGCGUUCAGAGCUGGGAUGCUCCAGCAGCGCCCAGAGUUCCCAUCAGCACUGCUCUCAGGCCACCGACAGACCAGGCACUGUCAUCUUCUCAGAGGUCCAAACGACUGCGCCCCCAGCUGGGAUGCCCAGCCUGGCCCAGAGGCGUUUACAGCCCCAGCUUUCCCCUUUCUCCCCGGUUUUGUAUCUUCCCUUAUAGUUUUUGUACAGGUAGUUGAGAGACACACUGUCCUCCUCCCCGCCUGGCCCCUCCGUGCGCACGUGAGCUGAGUUGCUGUGCAAUUCCAAGCCUGGCUUGCAUUUCCGCGAAGGCGGAGGGGUUGUUGGUCACCCUGCCUACAGAAGGCAGGGGUUCUGUGCAAUACCUGGGUCUGUGUUUCCUAGACGCUGUUGUAGGACUGUAUUUUUGUAACUCUGUGCGGGUGCUGGCUCCAGCAGGCCCAGGGCCUGGCACGAGCCUGCGUUCCCGUUGCUUUUCAACUUGGACUGUUUGGAUGUUGUUGUUUCUUGCCAUUGAAAUAAAGAGAUGGAUGUUUUA